rnacentral:misc_RNA from 1 species
GCGUGUCAUCGCUGAGAUUGUUGUAUGUCCCUUCUCCCUCCUCCUUUUUAUAUAUCUGUUUUUUAUUCUGUCAGUUGCAGUUCUUUUUUCCUUUUCCAUGUAUACUAUGUUUCUUGAUAUUAUCAAACAUGUUCAAUGAUGUUAUAUUUUAUUUAAUUAACUAUAUAUUCCUAUAAUGGUCCCUUAACCUUUACUUCAUCUACUUUUUAAAAUAUGAUGGCAAUAUUUAUGGUUUUAGAUUUUCCGCUUGCUUUGCAUCUUCAUAUUAUAAAUGCCAAGACAGUAUCUGCUGUUUUCAUUAAUUCAUUUAGAUAUCCAUCACAGUGUUAUUUCCUUUUUCUAAAUU